rnacentral:rRNA from 1 species
GACGAACGCUGGCGGCGUGCUUAACACAUGCAAGUCGAACGGAAAGGCCCUGCUUGCAGGGUACUCGAGUGGCGAACGGGUGAGUAACACGUGGGUGAUCUGCCCUGCACUUCGGGAUAAGCCUGGGCAACUGGGUCUAAUACCGGAUAGGAGCCAUUUUUAGUGUGAUGGUUGGAAAGUUUUUUCGGUGUAGGAUGAGCUCGCGGCCUAUCAGCUUGUUGGUGGGGUAAUGGCCUACCAAGGCGGCGACGGGUAGCCGGCCUGAGAGGGUGGACGGCCACAUUGGGACUGAGAUACGGCCCAGACUCCUACGGGAGGCAGCAGUGGGGAAUAUUGCACAAUGGGCGCAAGCCUGAUGCAGCGACGCCGCGUGGGGGAUGACGGCCUUCGGGUUGUAAACUCCUUUCGCUAGGGACGAAGCUUUUGUGACGGUACCUAGAUAAGAAGCACCGGCUAACUACGUG